GCAUCCCACAGGCCUGGUUUACUUCAUCAACCACUUUCUCAAGAAAAGAAAGUGUAAAAAAAUAAUACGUAGCGUGCAGGCGCAGGCGGAAGUUUUAGAAGUGUGGUGGGAGAGACAACUGUGAAAUGGGAAAGAUGCUGAGAAGGAAGCCUCAGAUCGGUGGACAGCCCCAAGAAAGACACGGAGGAGUUACCAGGUGAGGAAACUGAGACCAGAGAAGGAAAAUAACUUGCCGAACGAAGGCUACAAACUUGCAAGUGAUGGGGCCUGGUUGAACUUAAGGUCUUUCUGUUUGGCAAUAGCAUCUCAGUGACAUCCUUGGUUGGAAUAGUUUUAGAAUCAAGACAUAAACAGCCACCCUCAGGCCUACAGCCAUUCCCCUUUUUGUUGAAAGAGGAAGCAGUCACAGAAGGCACCCUUCACCCACUCUCUGUGGUCUCAAGAAGAGGAACCUGGAUCUGAUUUGGAUUUUUUUGAAGAAAUCUUGCUUUGAUGUGGUCUAAUCCAACUUCUUCAUUUGCUGGUCUGAGUGGGACAGUGGGUGCUGUACCUCUGUGGGGACCGACCAAGGGGAUUCUCUCAGCCAGGGAUCCCCCCAAGGGCGGAGUUUCCCAGCCCCGGUACCCAUGACUCCUCGGGUACCUCCAAUGAUCUCCAGGCUAUUGGAACCUUCUCUAGACAAAAUUUAAAUAUUGAAAUAAAUAUUCUAUGAAAAUAAACCUGUGGGAAAAAAU
rnacentral:lncRNA from 10 species